CCCUUUAACACAUACUUUCAGAUUCAAGCCUAUACAUUAAAUAACUCAUAUUCACCCUUGCUAAUCCUUAAAAUAUGGAAUUAUACAUAUGACUAAAAUUGCACAUGUGGUUUGCAGGAUCAGGUCCCCAACUGCUGGAUUCUGUUUUCAAGUUUAUAUGGCAUGCUUGUGGUUUCAAGAUUAUGUUAUGUGAUGGAAUUCUUUGCAGCCAGGAUGUCAUAGGCUAAAAUCUUCUCAUGGUUAUAAUGGCCUAAUUACUUUUUUUUUUUUAUUUAUGUAAUAUCCACAGGGUGCCAAAUGUUUUACUGAAAAAUACCAAGACAAAGCUGCUGUAUAGAGAGUGAAUAACUUCAAUUAGCAAAGGUUUGCCAGUUCUUACCACGAGCAAGUCUUUUAACCACCUCCACUAUGGCAAAGAAUCAAACGCUGUCAAAAACUGAAUCUGCAAAGCAACCGUUUCUAUGGCAGUGUGACCAGCUCCACCACAGUGAAACACAGAAAUGAGAAUGUAAAUUGCUGUGAGGCAGGGAAAGCCCCUUGCAUGAGUGGAUACAAGGGGAACUGAAGAUGCCUUGGAAUCAGCAGCACUGGCCUUUCUGCGUUCAGAGAUGUCAGACAAGUAACAGUAUCAUUUUACUUAGAGGCAAAGCAUUUUGCCCAACAGUUAUUACAGUUACUCUGUAAUAACAAGAAGCAGCAAUGCAGAAAGUGAAAUGUUUCUAGCACCAAGGUUAAGCAUUUUAAGACAAGUCCAACAGCUCUUGCUGGAAACUUUGCCCAACUUGAGGACUGGAACUUGACAACACUUUUAAUCAUAAGGGAACAAUGAAAGAAUUGAAAACUAUUUCAAAGUAAUGGAAAAGUAUGUUGCAUGUUCAAAAUUUUACAGAGUAUCUCUUUCAAAAGAGCUUCAGCAACAUCAUUCAAUUUAGGUUUCCCAUGAGCCACAAAAAAAAAGAGAAUGUAUUGAACAGGCCUUUAUUCAUAUUUCAUGAGCUAUUGGAAUUAUUUAUGUUCCUACAUAAUUCUGCUGAAAACUGCAGCUGACUGAGCACCACCUGAGAAACUUCCAUAUUCUGUGUAAAAUCAUACAGACAAGACAAGAUUUCUUCAUAUGGUAAAACCUGCUGAGGUGCUCAGACCCUCACUUGAGGGCAAUAAUUGCCAGAAAGAGGCAGAUUUUGCACAAAACACCAGUCUGAGAUUUGUCUCAGUGUUUCAUUUUUCCUGGUAGCACAGCCCAUGAGCAGGCACUUAUUCUGCAAGAAUUCCUCAGUUCCAGCUUCUUUAAGCUGUCAUAAACCUCAUAUUUACAAACUGCUGCAGCUGUAAUGAAGCUUAUUGCCAUCUCUGUUCAUCACAUCCAUCAACACAUAACACUUCUCAGAAUCUAACAUUAAUGCAUGUAGUACAGUGUGUUCACAACAUACCUCAAGCAUCCUGUAAGACUCCACUUCAGCUCCUCUAUCUAUUCAACUGCU